rnacentral:rRNA from 1 species
GACGAACGCUGGCGGCGUGCUUAACACAUGCAAGUCGAACGGAAAGGCCCUGCUUUUGUGGGGUGCUCGAGUGGCGAACGGGUGAGUAACACGUGAGUAACCUGCCCUUGACUUUGGGAUAACUUCAGGAAACUGGGGCUAAUACCGGAUAGGAGCUCCUGCUGCAUGGUGGGGGUUGGAAAGUUUCGGCGGUUGGGGAUGGACUCGCGGCUUAUCAGCUUGUUGGUGGGGUAGUGGCUUACCAAGGCUUUGACGGGUAGCCGGCCUGAGAGGGUGACCGGCCACAUUGGGACUGAGAUACGGCCCAGACUCCUACGGGAGGCAGCAGUGGGGAAUAUUGCACAAUGGGCGGAAGCCUGAUGCAGCAACGCCGCGUGCGGGAUGACGGCCUUCAGGUUGUAAACCGCUUUCGCCUGUGACGAAGCGUGAGUGACGGUAAUGGGUAAAGAAGCACCGGCUAACUACGU